rnacentral:lncRNA from 1 species
AGGAGAACGUGCAAAGAAUAGGACGGGCAGCCUUCGGGGCACCCUGAAGUGCAGAAAGGAGCUCUGGGAACUCCACCUUGUGUCUCACUGAGUAAGCGGUAAACACUGGUGGGUGUGCAUUGUCCUUACCUGCUGGGCAGACAAUUACCAGUCAGCAAAGUGGGGUUCCAGGGCAUCCCAGGAAAUGCAGCUUUCGGUUCCUUGCUGUUCCCGUGAAGACCCGCACAUCUCUCCGUGCAGUCCUUACAGCACUCGGGAGCGCUGCAGCUCUCUGCUGCCACCUGUUGGACACAAUGCAGUAAUGAAGGCGCUGUCCUGCAUAUGUACGGCUGCACCCCGUGUGCAUUGCUCUAUAGGAUGACGCAAGGGAGUAUUAGGAAUAUAAUGAAUGCUAUGCAUAGGUUUGAAGUUACAAUUAGCUUAACAAUUGUUUUCCACACUAUGAUUAGGAUUAAGGGUACUGUGACAGAAAACAAGCGGCAUUAUUUUUAUUGCAGCAUUUAGGUUAAGAGACAUUUUUAAUAUUGGCUUAAUAGUUAGGCUUACAUAUACACUGUGGGUUAACAUAAUUAUCAUUAGAGCUCACAUUAAGCUACGGGUUCAGGUCAAGAUUAACAUUCACGCUGCCUCCCAGCCAAUCCCAGAGAGCCAAAGAAAAAAGGCAAGCAGAACUCCCACCGAAAGCCAAGGUAAAGGCAAAGCAAACAGCCAAGGCGAAGGGAAGGGCAAAAGCAAGGAGAGCACCCAACGGAAAGCCAAGGUGAGGGCGAGGAGACAGCAGCAGGAAAAACCAAGGGCAAAGGCCAAGAGAACACAGCAAAAAAUGCCAAAACAGAAGGCCAAGGGAACACGGCAUGGAAUGCUCAGGUCAGGGCAAGGGCUAAGAGAACGUGGCAGGAAGUGCCAAAACAGGAGGCCAAAGAGAACACGGCAAAGAAGGCCAAGGCAGAAGGCUGAGAGAAGGUGGCUGGGAACACCAGAACAUGAUGCCAAAGAGAACGCCGCAGGAAAUGCCCAAACAGGAGGGCAAGAGAACACUGCAGGGAACGCCAAAACUGAAUGCUGAAGAGAACGUGGCAGAAGAAAAACAAGUUCAAUAGCCAAGAGAAUGUGGCAUGGAACGCAAGAACAGGAGGGCAAGGGAACGCCUAGGUAAGGGCCAAGAGAAUGUGGAAGGAAAUGCCAAGGAAAUGGCCAAGAGAACACGGACAAGAAACGCCAAAACAGAAGGGCAAGAGAGCACUGCAGGGAACGCCAAAACUGAAUGUUGAAGUGAAUGUGGCCAAGAAAGUCAAGGGCAAUGGCCAAGAGAACAUGACAUGGAAUGCAAAAACAGGAGGGCAAGAGAAUGCAGUAGGGAACGCCAAGGGCAAAGGGAAGGAGAACACCGCCGUGAAAGGCCAGAGCCAAGGAGAACGUGCAAAGAAUAGGACGGGCAGCCUUCGGGGCACCCUGAAGUGCAGAAAGGAGCUCUGGGAACUCCACCUUGUGUCUCACUCAGUAAGCGGUAAACACUGGUGGGUGUGCAUUGUCCUUACCUGCUGGGCAGACAAUUACCAGUCAGCAAAGUGGGGUUCCAGGGCAUCCCAGGAAAUGCAGCUUUCGGUUCCUUGCUGUUCCCGUGAAGACCCGCACAUCUCUCCGUGCAGUCCUUACAGCACUCGGGAGCGCUGCAGCUCUCUGCUGCCACCUGUUGGACACAAUGCAGGAAUGAAGGCGCUGCCCCGCAUAUGUAGGGCUGCACCCUGCGUGCAUUGCUCUAUAGGAUGACGCAAGGGAGUAUUAGGAAUAUAAU